rnacentral:rRNA from 1 species
UACGGGGGGGAGCAAGCGUUGUUCGGAUUUACUGGGCGUAAAGGGCGCGUAGGCGGUCGUGACAAGUCACUUGUGAAAUCUCCGGGCUUAACUCGGAACGGUCAAGUGAUACUGUCGGACUAGAGUACAGAAGGGGCAACUGGAAUUCUCGGUGUAGCGGUGAAAUGCGUAGAUAUCAGGAGGAACACCGAUGGCGAAGGCACUUUACUGGGCUAUUACUAACACUCAGAGACGAAAGCUAGGGUAGCAAAUGGG